rnacentral:lncRNA from 10 species
GGGAGAUGAGCUGCCCUUGAGGACAGGGCGGUGGUCAGGAAAUGGCAGACUCCACUCUUUCUGAAAAGAGGCCAGGAGUCCUGGUCUCAGGUCCUUGGGUACUGCAGAGCAGACGUCAUUAGACAUUUCCUUUGAGUAAUCAGGACUGCAGAGGCUCCCAGCUGUCUCUCCAAAUCUGAAUACAAGAAGUCAAAUGUGAGAGCAGCCAGGUGGAGUUAUUAGCAUUGCGGCAGACCUUCUCAUCUCAGCAGCUGCAUCAGUUAUUCUCGUGUGUUGGCUUGAGAUGCCCUGCACCAAACCAUGGGCCCUUUACUCAAUCGACCCCAUGAUUCGGAAGGCCCCGGCAUCUCGGCAGGCAAAUGACGUGAUGAGGAAGGAGUCAUGGAAGGGCAUUGAGCCAGCACCUUACACAGCAGCUUCAGUUUCCACUGUCAGUGCGUGAUAUGUGAAUGAAAAUCCCUGCGUAGUCAUUAAUGCAUAAUGCCUCAGUCACUGCCUCAAAAAUCAAUCUUUUACUGCCUCAACGAGGAAAAAAAACAAUCCCACUGCUCUCCCAGGCCCUGUAGUGUGAGUCUAUCAUGGCCACUUGGGCAUCACUUGGGCUCAGCUCCCUGACAUGACAGAGUGUAAUAGCUUCAUAAAAAAGCAAGAGUGGUGGUUUUUUCAAACACCAUUUGCUGUGUUUGAACAAAUGUGCUUCAUCACAGCUCCGCCUGCCUGUGGGCUGCUCUGUAGCUGACAGAUAGCCCCAGCCUAAGGAAGCUAAGGUAAAGAUACAUGAAGUUCACCUUCCUGCACACUCAAAAUAUUCAAAUCUUCUCUAACCACAGCCACAGGGCUCGUGCCAAAUAGGUGUGCCCCUUCCUUGAAUUUGUAUGUGUGAAUAUUUCAAGCAGUGAUGGCCCUGUAUACCUUCUAAGGAAAAAUAUGUCUCUCAAAUCAGCUGUUGUUGUUACUUUUUGCCCUUGUGGUUUCCCGGCAUGACCCCAGGCACCUGUUAGUAGCUGUUGUGCUCCAAGACCACAACCUCCUAAACAAAGGUAUUUAUAUUUCAAAGGGGAUGAGGCCUUAUUCAGUUCCUUCCUUCCCCACCUCCUUUAAGAAAAUUCCAGCAUUUGGGCUGGGCGUGG